AUUGAACGCUGGCGGCAGGCUUAACACAUGCAAGUCGAACGGUAACAGGUAAGUACUUGUACUUAUGCUGACGAGUGGCGGACGGGUGAGUAAUGCUUGGGGAUCUGGCUUAUGGAGGGGGAUAACGACGGGAAACUGUCGCUAAUACCGCGUAGAAUCGGGAGAUGAAAGUGUGGGACCUUCGGGCCACAUGCCAUAGGAUGAACCCAAGUGGGAUUAGGUAGUUGGUGGGGUAAUGGCCUACCAAGCCGACGAUCUCUAGCUGGUCUGAGAGGAUGACCAGCCACACCGGGACUGAGACACGGCCCGGACUCCUACGGGAGGCAGCAGUGGGGAAUAUUGCGCAAUGGGGGCAACCCUGACGCAGCCAUGCCGCGUGAAUGAAGAAGGCCUUCGGGUUGUAAAGUUCUUUCGGUGACGAGGAAGGUUGUUGUGUUAAUAGCGCAACAAACUGACGUUAAUCACAGAAGAAGCACCGGCUAACUCCGUGCCAGCAGCCGCGGUAAUACGGAGGGUGCGAGCGUUAAUCGGAAUAACUGGGCGUAAAGGGCACGCAGGCGGACUUUUAAGUGAGGUGUGAAAUCCCCGGGCUUAACCUGNGAAUUGCAUUUCAGACUGGGGGUCUAGAGUACUUUAGGGAGGGGUAGAAUUCCACGUGUAGCGGUGAAAUGCGUAGAGAUGUGGAGGAAUACCGAAGGCGAAAGCAGCCCCUUGGGAAUGUACUGACGCUCAUGUGCGAAAGCGUGGGGAUCAAACAGGAUAAGAUACCCUGGUAGUCCACGCCGUAAACGACUGAGUGCUAAGUGUCAGGGGGUUUCCGCCCCUUAGUGCUGCAGCUAACGCAUUAAGCACUCCCCCUGGGGAGUACGACCGCAAGGUUGAAACUCAAAGGAAUUGACGGGGACCCGCACAAGCGGUGGAGCAUGUGUGUUUAAUUCGAAGCAACGCGAAGAACCUUACCAAAUCUUGACAUCCUCUGACCCCUCUAGAGAUAGAGUUUUCCCCUUCGGGGGACAGAGUGACAGGUGGUGCAUGGUUGUCGUCAGCUCGUGUCGUGAGAUGUUGGGUUAAGUCCCGCAACGAGCGCAACCCUUAAGCUUAGUUGCCAUCAUUAAGUUGGGCACUCUAAGUUGACUGCCGGUGACAAACCGGAGGAAGGUGGGGAUGACGUCAAAUCAUCAUGCCCCUUAUGAUUUGGGCUACACACGUGCUACAAUGGACAAUACAAAGGGUAGCGAAACCGCGAGGUCAAGCAAAUCCCAUAAAGUUGUUCUCAGUUCGGAUUGUAGUCUGCAACUCGACUACAUGAAGCUGGAAUCGCUAGUAAUCGUAGAUCACCAAAAAGCGGUGAAUACGUUCCCGGGUCU
rnacentral:rRNA from 1 species